rnacentral:rRNA from 1 species
GUUUGGUUAAGUUAGAAAGGGCGCACGGUGGAUGCCUUGACACUAGGAGUCUAUGAAGGACGGGACUAACGCCGAUAUGCUUCGGGGAGCUGUAAGUAAGCUUUGAUCCGAAGAUUUCCGAAUGGGGAAACCCACUAUACGUAAUGGUAUGGUAUCCUUACCUGAAUACAUAGGGUAUGGAAGACAGACCCAGGGAACUGAAACAUCUAAGUACCUGGAGGAAGAGAAAGCAAAUGCGAUUUCCUGAGUAGCGGCGAGCGAAACGGAACAUAGCCCAAACCAAGAGGCUUGCCUCUUGGGGUUGUAGGACAUUCUAUACGGAGUUACAAAGGAACGAGGUAGACGAAGCGACCUGGAAAGGUCCGUCGUAGAGGGUAACAACCCCGUAGUCGAAACUUCGUUCUCUCUUGAAUGUAUCCUGAGUACGGCGGAACACGUGAAAUUCCGUCGGAAUCUGGGAGGACCAUCUCCCAAGGCUAAAU